AAACUACUCUCCCGCUUCUUUUGGGCGGGAGAGAACAAUAAGCAGAAGUACCAUAUGGUCAAAUGGUCUGAGAUCUGCAAACCUAAGGACCAGGGAGGCUUGGGGGUCAUCUCCUCCAAGCGUAUGAACAUUGCCCUCCUGUCCAAACGGCUUUGGCGGAUCCAGACUGAGGAGAGCGGCCUGUGGCUUCAGAUUAUCCGUGGGAAGUACCUUCGCGGGCAACCAUUAACGUUUGCCUCUAGGUCUGGAGGCUCCCAAUUCUGGCAAUCGGUGAUGUCUUUGUUACCGGUUCUGCGCAUUGGGACCUCCAUCCAGAUAGGCUCUGGGACUGCCACCCUUUUUUGGCUGGAUAGAUGGGCAGGACCCCGCCCCUUUGCAGAGCAUUUUUACGCUCUAUUCUCUAUCUGUGUUUGCCCAUAG
rnacentral:rRNA from 1 species